GAUCCCCACUGUUCUCCAACCAAAUAAUCUUUCAAUAACAUAUUUUCUUAAAUAGAUCGUUAUAUAUGUCAUCACCUCACUUGUGAUUGCUGCAUUAAUUAGGGCAAAAACCUUACAGAAGCAAAUGUCUCCACAUCUAUCCUUGAUAAGGUGAUGUUUAAUAAAUAUCCACCUGACAAAGAGGAACUUUUGGAGCCAUUUGAAGCUCUUAGGGACUUAAGCAUUUAUAACAUGUAGUACACUUGGAUGAAUCAUUGUCAGUUAUGAAACAUAAGGAUUUGGUUAUGCAUGGCUACGUUUGAGUAGAUUUGGUCCAUACCAGCUAUUUUCCAUUCAUUCUAACCUAUGAAAUGGGAACCAAGUCACAAGAGUGAGUUCAGGCUUUUUAACAAUAAACUUUCUGACAUUUCCACCACUUCUGAAAGUGCCUGCACGUGUUCCUUGUAAGAAGUUUGAAAAGUUAUAAAUAGGCCAAGUGUGUCUUUUUUUUUUUUUUUGGUCUUUUUGCCAUUUCCUGGGCCACUCCUGUGGCAUAUGGAGGUUCCUAGGCUAGGGGUUGAAUCAGAGCUGUAGCCACCAGCCCACGCCAGAGCCAUAGCAACCUACACCACAGCUCACAGCAACGCCAGAUCCUUAGCCCACUGAGCAAGGCCAGGGACCGAACCCGCAACCUCAUGGUUCCUAGUCGGAUUUGUUAACCACUGAGCCACGAUGGGAACUCCGCCAAGUGCGUCUUGAUCCAUUCUUCUGAGCAUGCCUCUUAUGAUGCUAGGAAGGUCUAACUCUGAAUUAUGUUUGAUAUUCAGGGGAGAACAAUCUGGCAGUGAGCUGACUUCUACCAAAGCAACCUGGAUCAGGAAGCUGGUGGAGGAGAGCCUGGAACCCCUUUGUGGUUAAAUGAGGUGCUUUUCCUGAUGGGCAAAAUACACAGCAGGGGCCGAGGGUGCUGCAAGCUUAAGGAUGUAAGAUGAUGACAACCAUAAGCAAAAGAACACAAUUUGAAGAUCUGGUAAGUACAAGAGAGAUAUUUAUAGAUAUUAAUCAAUUAUCUUGACAUUAUUUUUCUGUUUUAAGUAUUUGUAUUUUUCUUGAGUCCCUAUGAAUAAUGGUACUGCUCGUGAGCCUGACCUUUUCAAGAAAAAUGCUAUACUUCUAUAAUUAUAUUUGAGAGACAUAACAUUAUUUGAAUAGGCAUCUCAGUAUUAUUCAGACAUAUUGUAAUAUUACCAGGACUUAAAGUCUUUGAAUAAUGCAAACUUUCCUAACAUUACUCAUCACAUUUAGUGUAGGC
rnacentral:lncRNA from 1 species